GCUACCGCCUCCCGGUCCUAACGCGUCAUCAUCGCACGAGGCCGCCGCCGCCAAUCAGCGCCGCCCCCCCGCGCCUGCGCGCCACGCAACGGAAGGAAGGGCGGCCCGCGCACCUCGGGUUUUGAAGGGAGAGGCAUCGUUGCCACCCAACAAAGCGGCUCUACUGCCUGUAUUUACAGUUUCAUCAAUCAAAAUGCAUUUUGACAGCACAACAGAGAGGAGCAGCUGCAGUGCCUGCUCAGGGCUCCACCCUGCCUGGCAGAUGAAGCAUUUCCUGCCCCACGUUUCAGUAUUUCAUCUGUAAAAUGGUGCUAAUGAAUUUGAAAUAUUCUUGAGCUCCACUGGCAAAAAAAAUGCAUGGCAAAACUACGUGUCAUUUUCAUCUGUCAUUUCCUGUCCCUCUAACUCGAUGCGUACUCAGCUAGUGGAGAGGGAAAUUGAGACAGGAGCACUGUUUCAUUAAAUAUUAAAUAAAUGGAAUUAAAGUGG